rnacentral:rRNA from 1 species
UACAGAGGUCUCAAGCGUUGUUCGGAUUUAUUGGGCGUAAAGGGCGCGUAGUCGGCGGGGUAAGUCGGGUGUGAAAUCUCAGGGCUCAACCCUGAAACUGCAUUCGAUACUGCCGUGCUUGAGGACUGGAGAGGAGACUGGAAUUUACGGUGUAGCGGUGAAAUGCGUAGAUAUCGUAAGGAAGACCAGUGGCGAAGGCGGGUCUCUGGACAGUUCCUGACGCUGAGGCACGAAGGCCAGGGGAGCAAACGGG